UUUUUUUUUUUUUUAUUCCUCGGAUACCAUGAUGGACUAUUCAUAGCUGCAAGUACAACGGAAGCAUGUAAUCCCUCCCACAAACGAGCUCUGACGAUGUUGGCGUGGAAAAUCAAGCACUUGAUGAGAAGAUGUCGGGCGAGGCUGCUGCAACAAGCAGGAGGGCACAUGAAGACGAUUUCACACCGAAUAAACUGGAAACUGGAGGAAUAUACAAAACCUGGCAGAUAUCAGGCUCACAAAUUAGAGGCAGCGAGACGAGUUCAAUCCGGAGCGCAAAAGACGAGCAACAACGAAUUCCUUCACACACAGAAGCUGCAGAACGGUUUUCCUUUGACUCGGUUUCCUCUACAAGUACAAAGGUUUUGAAAUGCCGAACUUUCAGCAGCCGGUGCUCAACGUGACCCUGCAGAUUAGGAACUUGGCUCAGUCGCUUCACUCUCGGUGGAAUAUUUGACUUAUUUCCCACAAAAGCCACACUGAAAUGUUUAUGUGGCUUGUGGGAAAUGAAGGAAGGCGAUAGUUCAGAGUGAUAAUAUCAGAGAGUGCAGGAGCCCUGAAACGAAACGCCGCGGCGAAAUGCGACAAAAUGUCCAGAUACAAAAGCAAAACCGUUCUAAUCAGGUUUUCUUUUCAGAAGAAUUUAGCAUAAUUAAAAAAAAAAAAAAA